rnacentral:rRNA from 1 species
GACGUAGGGGGCAAGCGUUGUUCGGAAUUACUGGGCGUAAAGCGCGUGUAGGCGGCUUGGCAAGUCGGAAGUGAAAGCCCUCGGCUCAACCGGGGAACUGCUUUCGAGACUGCCAGGCUUGAGUGCGGGAGGGGAGAGCGGAAUUCCCGGUGUAGCGGUGAAAUGCGUAGAUAUCGGGAAGAACACCGGUGGCGAAGGCGGCUCUCUGGACCGCGACUGACGCUGAGACGCGAAAGCGUGGGGAGCAAACAGG